UGGCUGGGACGUGCUUACCAUGCAGUCGAACGGUGAACACGGAGCUUGCUCUGUGGGAUCAGUGGCGAACGGGUGAGUAACACGUGAGCAACCUGCCCCUGACUCUGGGAUAAGCGCUGGAAACGGCGUCUAAUACUGGAUACGAGUAGCGACCGCAUGGUCAGUUACUGGAAAGAUUUUUUGGUUGGGGAUGGGCUCGCGGCCUAUCAGCUUGUUGGUGAGGUAAUGGCUCACCAAGGCGUCGACGGGUAGCCGGCCUGAGAGGGUGACCGGCCACACUGGGACUGAGACACGGCCCAGACUCCUACGGGAGGCAGCAGUGGGGAAUAUUGCACAAUGGGCGAAAGCCUGAUGCAGCAACGCCGCGUGAGGGAUGACGGCCUUCGGGUUGUAAACCUCUUUUAGCAGGGAAGAAGCGAAAGUGACGGUACCUGCAGAAAAAGCGCCGGCUAACUACGUGCCAGCAGCGGCGGUAAUACUG
rnacentral:rRNA from 1 species